UACGGCGGGUGCAAACGUUGCUCGGAAUCAUUGGGCGUAAAGCGCACGUAGGUGGCUUGUUAAGUCGGGUGUGAAAUCCCUGGGCUCAACCCAGGAAGUGCACUCGAAACUGGCGAGCUUGAGUACUGAAGAGGGUCGCGGAAUUCCCGGUGUAGAGGUGAAAUUCGUAGAUAUCGGGAGGAACACCAGUGGCGAAGGCGGCGACCUGGGCAGAUACUGACACUGAGGUGCGAAAGCGUGGGGAGCAAACAGG
rnacentral:rRNA from 1 species